CACUGAAUGCUGUUUCUAAUUCCUUUUGUAAUACGUUUUAGAUGAAUUACCACCUUCUUUGUUGGUGCUCAAUUUGUCUGUCAAUCAAUGUACAAAAGCAUGUAACUACAGAAAAAACAUUAUCAAAUCACUACCAAAUCUGCAACAGCUAGAUAACCAUCAGAUUAGCAAACUAGAGAAGAUCGAAAUUGGUAUUGAAGUGUCUAGCAGCUCUGAAGAAGAUGAAGAUGAGGUGGAAGAUGGUUACUAUGGUAAUCACCUCCAUUAUAAUGAUAAAGUUUUAGAUAAAGCUGGCGAUUUAUUUAGUACAUCAACCCAGAUAAUCCAGAGAUCUAAGGACAGAAUGAAGGUUCACUGCAGCAAACAUGAUGCUGUAAUAGAUGAACUUGAUAACUUUCGCAGCCAAUCAGAGCUUGGCAUGAGUACAGCCAGGUCAGAUAAUUCAGCAGCCAAUCAGGGCUUAGCAUGAGUAGAAUGCAUUUAGAUACUACGAUGACACCCAGUCAGAGCUUUGAGUGUGUACAGCCAGGACACAUCUGCAGCCAAAUGCCAAAGCGCAGCAUGAGUACAUUACAACAACUUUGUUGGCCGUUGUGUGAGCAAAUUCAGUCUGCUAGUUGUUAGGGGUUAAUGUUAAUUCCUGUUACAGUAUACUAAUGUAUUCUUGAAAUGUAUCUGCAGUUAUGAUGGAGUAUGAAUGAUUUUUUAUUGGCGCACAUGUCUAUUUCUACUGACAAGAUUCUACUUUUGCCAAAAACUGUUAAUAUUGUCAUUAUUAUAAAUAAUACUGGCCUAGUAUUACUUAGUACCUCAUCAGGGCAUUGAGCAGUCAAACCACCUAUGUGCUGUCUCUGUGUGGGCAAUUCCAUGAAAAUGAGGACCAAAAAAUUAAAGUUAAUGAUAUGAAGCCACACACUUUCAUGAACACAUGGAAGUGUGUGGAAAAACUAAAAACCGAGCCAAAUAUCAAAAUGAUGCAAAUACCGUAAAAUUUAGCUGAAAAUAAUGGAAUUUUCCCAACCAGUAUAUCUGGGGGUAUAACUAUUAUGUUGGGCACAUCUUCAUUUUGCAGUGGUAGCAUUACAGUAGGCCAAAACAAUGACUACUAAAUUCAUGGAAUAUGAGGGUACUUUAAAAGUGGCACACCAUAAAUAUAUUAAAGGUCUUUCAAGUGCAAGGAAAUGAAAAAAAUAUAUAUGUUCAAGCACUUCAAGGUUGUGUCAACGUGAGGCGCUAUAUAAAUCCAGAAUUAUUAUUAUUAUUAUUGUUAUAUUUAUCAGUUUUACUUAAAACAUAAUGACUGGAAAUUUGUGGAUACCAACAUAUUGCCAAUAGUUACAGGUUACAUUGUUGAAGUGUUCUAAAUUAAUGUGAAAUAUUUUGUUCUGUUGUUUUUGAAAUAAGUUUGCAGAUUGAAUAUGAAUAAUAAUAAUUUACAAAUUAAAUAAAGAAAAUAUAAUUAAAGUGAUAAUAAAGUCCAUAUUGUCAAUUUUGUAGUAGAGACAUGUGGUAACAUAAGUUACCGUAACAUAAGUUACCGUAACAUUGGGACAUUAUUAAUUGUAAUCCAUUUACCUGUUAUUAGUUCAAUGACCAACAAUUAUGUGAUAUACAUUGACUUUACUGAGGGAUAUUCUGUAUGAGGAGACUUUUGAAAACUGUCUUUUUGUGUAACGCAAGUUACAAGUUACCAAGAUUUGAUUAUGUUAACAAAAAAUAUUAAAACCAGUUGAAAGUUUUAAUAGGAUUUUCAAAAAGGUUAAACAUUUAUUGUUUUAAAUAAUACCAAAGAUACUAGAAAUACAAGAUAGAGUUCUCCACACAAAAAAAGUGUUCCACUGUGUUCCACCGAAAUGCAUGGUGGGAAUACGAAAAAUGGGAUGCCCCC
rnacentral:lncRNA from 1 species